CAGUUCAGAUUGCAGGCUGCAACUCGCCUGCAUGAAGUUGGAAUUGCUAGUAAUCGCGAAUCAGAAUGUCGCGGUGAAUACGUUCCCGGGCCUUGUACACACCGCCCGUCACACCAUGGGAGUCGGAAAUGCCCGAAGUCUGUGACCCAACCGGAAGGAGGGAGCAGCCGAAGGCAGGUCGGAUGACUGGGGUGAAGUCGUAACAAGGUACC
rnacentral:rRNA from 1 species